ensembl:lncRNA
CACCUGUUUCUUUUGGAAUAUUUGCCGCCAGCCAUCGGUAAAGAAAACAGGCUCUUGGCCUUUUUUGCUGUGCUACCUCCUGGUGCCCUUUGCUCAUCCAGAUGUUCCUCGAACUCCUGCUCAUGCAGGCGUAAAGGUGGCUCUCUCUCCAGUGGCGAGGAUGGGGCCACAGUGGUGAAGGUAGCUGCGCCAGCCCUCAGGGCGGCCCUGGUCCAAAGGACGUGGGUCCAGGAGCCAGCUCGCUGUCCCGGGAGGAGCCAGCUCGCUGUAGCCAAUGACGGGCCUGGUGGGCAGGAGGGCCCAGCCCCCUUGUUCCAGUGCCAUCAAUCUGAAGGGCCACCCACUUUCCGGUCGUCCCAGGGCCUGCUGACCCUGCCUUCCCCUCCCACCCAGCAGCCACACCCAGGAGCGCUCCCCAACACAUUCCUCGCUGGAAACCCCCAGGACACCCGCCAGCCUGUACGAACCAGGCGUGGGGACACUAACACAAGUCCCUUUCCUUCACUGGGGGGGCCCUGGGGCUGCUGCUGGGCCUGCUCGCGCUCCGGGGCUGUCCCCUCUUCGGCUGCCGAAGUCACCGCUGGCCCACCAGGCCUGGCAGCCACCCACCCGCUCCCUGCCGCCCGGGUCCGCGUGGCGUCGGCCGCCCCCACCCUUCCCCGCCCUCCCGGAGCCCGGGGGGCGCCCCCAUUCCCGCCGCCGCCCAGUCCUCCCAACCCCAGGCCGGAGCCGCGCAGGGCGCCUUCGCACACGUCCCGCGAGGACCAGACCUGUUCCUGGUCCCUGGGCCGCCCAUCUCCGCCGGGAAGGCGGCUUCCUCCGGGGCCCGGCCCCACCCCAGCGACCGGCAGCAGCGCGCCGAGUCGGACAACUCAGGCCGGGGCCACUACCAGGGUCAAGCCCUGUUCUGGGACCAAAGGAUGGCUCCACGGGAGCGCGCCUGCGCACCGCCCCUCCUCGUGGCGCGGAGGCGCGGCCCAGGAACUGCAGGAGCAGGCCAGCCAUCUGCGCCUGCGCAAGACCAGGCGCGACCCCGAGGGCGUUCGGGGGAGGGAACGCUGCGGACUGCUCGCAGCGUGCGCACGCACGCACGCACGCGUGCCUCGGGAAGCGUCGAGUCCGGGACGCCCAGAGCGGGCACGGAGCAGGGGGAAGGGAAGCGCGGCUCGGUCGGUGCGGGUGGAGGGGGGCGUGAGGCCGGCCUACGGUGGCCGUCGAGGGACGGCGCUACGGCUCCCACGCUGGGCCAAACUCCUCCGGCGCCCGCAGUCCCGGCCCCCAGCACCGCCGGCCGGCCCCGAGGUCCGGGACGCCAGCGCCACCGCGGAGAGGGCACCGGGCCGACGCCUCCCCCGAGGCUCAGCGGCGGGCUCCCAGGCCUAGGCGCCCAUGACCCCUACGCUGACCGCUGCCUGGACGCCGCCGCCACCACCGCGAGUUAGCGCCGCCGCCACCAGGGCCCAAUGCCGGUCAUGCCCAUCCCGCGGCGGGUGCGCUCCUUCCACGGCCCGCACACCACCUGCCUGCAUGCAGCCUGCGGGCCCGUGCGCGCCUCCCACCUGGCCCGUACCAAGUACAACAACUUCGACGUGUACAUCAAGACGCGCUGGCUGUACGGCUUCAUCCGCUUCCUG